GGAUUCUCUCAAGAUAAAAAUCAACAUUAAAAUUUACUCAAUAAGAUCAACAAUACAGAAAAUUUACUAUGCAACAAGAACAACAACAAAACAAAAUUUCUGAGAAAAUCAAAAUUUUACUCAGAAAGAUAAAAAAAAAUACUCACAACAGCAACACAAAAAUCGAACAAAAAUAAAAAUAAAUCCACCGCAGAGAUUCGAGACAAGAUGAGCGAAAAUCGAACAAAAUCAAAACAAAAAUCGAAACCCAAUUAA
rnacentral:lncRNA from 1 species